rnacentral:rRNA from 1 species
UACAGAGGGUGCAAGCGUUGUUCGGAAUUACUGGGCGUAAAGCGCGUGUAGGUGGCGAUGUAAGUCGGGUGUGAAAUCCCUCAGCUUAACUGAGGAAGUGCACUCGAUACUGUGUCGCUUGAGUGUUGGAGGGGAUGGCGGAAUUCCCGGUGUAGAGGUGAAAUUCGUAGAUAUCGGGAGGAACACCUGUGGCGAAGGCGGUCAUCUGGACAACUACUGACACUGAGACGCGAAAGCGUGGGUAGCAAACAGG